rnacentral:lncRNA from 1 species
AGCCGCUGGCCUCUGCUUUAGAGCGCUUUUGCUUUCCGCAUUUUAGGUGUUUACAUCCCAUGACCCAGCAGUCUCUCAAGAACUCAUUCCACAGAAUACAGCCUUCAUAAGGGCAAGAGCUUCCACCCAUUUUGUUCACUGCUGUGGCCCUGAUGCCUGGGACAGCCCUGCUGAGAGAUGAGGAAAGAUCACUCCUGGCACCUGACCUCUGAGAGCUGGUGCGCUGGGAAGCAGAUGUGGAGAAGACGGUUUGUGUGAAAUGAGUGUCCUGAGAAGUGACCCUGGUGUCUUCGCCUGUAAAGGAAGAGCAGACAUAACCCGAGCAGAAGCUGAUUGCGGUGGUGGCUGCAGCAAGGCCUCAGUCCAUCCCACUGGGGUCUGAGUGGGAGGGCCUUGCAGACUCGUCCUGCCACGAGGGAGGCCCUGGCCCUCUCUCCUCCCUUCAUGGACCAGUCAUGGGGUGCUGUGAACUUGGGCAGGCGGCUCCCUUCACCCAGGCCAGUUCCCGGCCAGGGGCUCAGCAGAGAGCCUGGAGCCACCAACGUUCCCAGCAGCUGAGGGAUGCUGAGGGGGACCUGGGCACCACUGCGGCCACCGCUGUCCCCUUUAAAUGCCUCUUGACCUAUCUGCCCCUUCUUGAGCAUUGCCUCUCCCCAGGCUCCAUUCUCAGGCCUUUUCUUCGUUGACUCCCAUUUCUUUGGGGGGAGCAGGGAGCAUGACCCGUGCUCCCCGGCCUUAACCAGCCCUGAGCCUGGGCCCCAGGGUUUCCUGUCUCUCCAGCAUCGCCAGUUUAUGCUUCUCUUUGCCCCGCCCCUUGGGACGGCCCACCUCUUGCAUCCUUUGAUCCACCCCCCCCCCCCCCCCCACUGCUCCUACACGCGGCCCUCACUGCCUCCCUCCCGGGCUUGCUGUCCACUCAGGCCCCCGGCUCCGGGCAUGGGCGUCACAGCCCUUCGGGAGUGGAAGGGGUCACUUUACAUGCAUGUUUCCUCCCUCCUGUCUCUGUUUCCAGUGUUGCUCUCUCCUGCGUCCCCCAAAGCCAGCCCCUCCGCCUCGCCACUGCUGCUGGGGACACUUCCUCAAUCACAGAUUGUUAUUCACAUAGGAACAGUUGCUGGACGCUUGCCACGGCCUGCCCACGUCACAUUCUGGGCCAGUCAUGGUGAGCGACGCAGAAAAAGUCUCUGCUUGGAUACCCACAAAGAUCCUGGCCUCACUCAGUGGGUUAGGGAUCCCAGCUUGCCGUUGCUGUGGUGCAGGCCGGCAGCUGCAGCUCCAAUUCAACCUCCAACCUGGGAACUUCCAUAUGCUGCGGGUGCAGACCUAAAAAGAAAAAGAAAACAAAAGCAAGAAAAGUCUCUGCUUUCAGUGGCGUUUACAUUUUAGUAGGAGACACAGGAAACUAAAGAAAUGACUGAAUGAGCUGAUGGGUAAAUCAGUAUUAGAGAGUGAUAAAUGCUGUGCCAAGAAUUAGAAUAAGGAGUUCCUGUCGUGGCUCAGCAGAAAUGAAUCUGACUAGUAUCCAUGAGGAUGUGGGUUCGAUCCCUGGGCCCGCUCAGCAGGUUAAGGAUCCAGGGUUGCUGUGAGCUGUGGUGUAGGUCGAAGAUGUGGCUCCGAUCUGGCGUUGCUGUGGCUGUGGUGUAGGCUGGCAGCUACAGCUUAGAUUCCACCACUAGCCUGGGAACAUCCAUAUGCCCUGGGUAUGGCCCUAAAAAGACAAAAGUAAAAAACAAACCCCCAAAAUUUAGAAUACUGUGGCCGAGUGUGGCAGGAUCAGCAAAGGUCUCACGUUGUCUUCUGGGCAGGGGGCAGACUCUAGUGUGGCACAAAAGGCUCUGGUGGAGACAAGCUCUGGCCCCCUGGCGAGGACUGACAGCUUCCUCCUGCCCCUUGCACUCGGUCAGUUGGGGGUAACCCUUCCUGGAGGGCCAAGGGGCCACCUGGGUUCCCCUUCUCCCCCGCCUUCCUUCCCUUAUCCUCCCAGUCCCCCCUGUGCUGGAACAAUGUCCCUUAUGGGUGACAGCGACAAAAGCCCAGCUGGCCUCAGCAGGUUUAUUCUUAUCAGUGACUAGACCCAGACAAUUAACAAUCCCUUUCAACGGCCCUCUUGGCCAUGAUUUUUGGGAAAUGCUGACUAGGACAUGACUUGGGGAAGAGAGAUUAUUUUAAAAAAAGAAAGAAAAGAAAACAGGUGCAGUGCUCUUUCCUACUGAGCCUGUCACCGGGGUUAGAUUUGCAGCCUCCACCCUUAACCGUUGUCCCCUGCCUGCCCAGGAGCCGCCCCUCCCCCAAUUCCACCUCCCUGAGGUUUUGGAAGGAAAACUAAACAAUGGCUAAAUGAAACCAAGCCCGUUAUCAACGGGUUCCACGUCACGGCUGAUAAUUCCUCGAAAAUCCCGGUUCUCAUCAAGAAUCUCCGACUUCAUUUCCCUGCACUUGUCGCCGGUGGGCGCAGAUGAAAGUGGGAGAGAAACGCAAGGCCCAGGGCGCCUUGCUUUGGCAGCCAGCCCCUCGGCCUUUGCUUAUGUACCGGGCACCUGAUCAUCAAGCCAAAGACACGGGUGGCUGGUUUCCUAAACGCCCCAGAUGCACCCGGAGCUCCUCCCCUCCGGGGGCCGCCUCUUUGCCCCUUUAUCUGGGCACCGCCUUCCUGCACCCACCCACCACCUCCUUCGCAGACUGGCCGCGCCUUCCCUUGGCUCCCCCUAGCGGCGGGCGCCGUCCAUCACCCGUGGGAACACGGGUCCCGCACCUCCCGCGCCGGCUCCAAGGCAGACGGAAAAGACAUUAAAACCGGAGAAAGCCGAGCAUCGAUCCCUCAGCGGAGAUCCAGCUUUUAUUUUCACCACAACCGACGGUCCCGUCAGACCUUGUGUGAGGUUUUUUUUUUUUUCUUUCCUGUCUGAUUACACACAAAAAAAUCACAACCAUGUAAACCAAAAUUUGUAACUUAUAUAAUCAAGACUUUUAGGUGUGAUUCUUUAUUACACGUAAAAAUAAAAUCG